rnacentral:rRNA from 1 species
AACGAACGCUGGCGGCAUGCCUAACACAUGCAAGUCGAACGAGACCUUCGGGUCUAGUGGCGCACGGGUGCGUAACGCGUGGGAAUCUGCCCUUCGGUUCGGAAUAACUCAGGGAAACUUGAGCUAAUACCGAAUGAUGUCUUCGGACCAAAGAUUUAUCGCCGAAGGAUGAGCCCGCGUCGGAUUAGCUAGUUGGUGAGGUAAAGGCUCACCAAGGCGACGAUCCGUAGCUGGUCUGAGAGGAUGAUCAGCCACACUGGGACUGAGACACGGCCCAGACUCCUACGGGAGGCAGCAGUGGGGAAUAUUGGACAAUGGGCGAAAGCCUGAUCCAGCAAUGCCGCGUGAGUGAUGAAGGCCUUAGGGUUGUAAAGCUCUUUUACCCGGGAUGAUAAUGACAGUACCGGGAGAAUAAGCCCCGGCUAACUCCGUGCCAGCAGCCGCGGUAAUACGGAGGGGGCUAGCGUUGUUCGGAAUUACUGGGCGUAAAGCGCACGUA